ensembl:lncRNA LINC01828 long intergenic non-protein coding RNA 1828
CGGCCUUUGGUGCAGCUGUAAGUCGGAUGGAAUCCACCUUCCUGACGUCAGACCCACCCACUGGAACACUGCUCCUCUGACUGGGGCUUCCCUGAAUGGAAACUACAUGUCAUACUGCAAAAGACAGGGUCUCACUAUGUUGCCCAGGCUGGUCUCAAAUUCCUUCUCAAGUGAUCCUCCCACCUCAACCUCCCAAAGUGCUGGGAUUGCAGGCAUGAGCCACUGCACCCAGCAGAAAUUCUUAACGAGGCAAGGCCAACAGAGGCCAUUCAUUCAACAUCACGGCACCAUAGUGGCCUCUUUUUAAGACUCCUCAGGUUCCAGAUAGAUUUCAUCACUCAAGAUAAGCAAAUGAACCACAGAAUUUUGAAGUUAGAGGUAAUUACAGCAAUGAUCUUAGCCAGCCCCCAUACAUUUUGGGACACACAGGUUCAGGACUGCCUGCCCUGGAGCUGAUUCCAUAAGAUACCCAGUAAGUAAGUCCCUGUCAGGAACUGGACAUAACACCCCUCACCUCAACUGCUGUGCUCACUCCACAGCUCAGCACAACUUUGAAUUAUUAUCUCAAAGACUUUUAAAACAACAACAAAACACUUCCGAGAAAAAAAUCUAGCAAAGUUUCUCAUGUUGUAAAACAGUUAUAGGUUAAGUAAAUUAAAAUAUUUCUAUUUUGA